UACGUAGGGGGCAAGCGUUGUCCGGAAUUAUUGGGCGUAAAGAGCGCGUAGGCGGUCCGGUAAGUCGGUUGUGAAAGUCGGGGGCUCAACCCUCGAAUGCCGGUGGAUACUGUCGGGCUAGAGUACGGAAGAGGCGAGUGGAAUUCCUGGUGUAGCGGUGAAAUGCGCAGAUAUCAGGAGGAACACCGGUGGCGAAGGCGGGUCUCUGGGCCGAUACUGACGCUGAGGAGCGAAAGCGUGGGGAGCGAACAGG
rnacentral:rRNA from 1 species